rnacentral:sRNA from 1 species
UAAACCUACGGAAGCGGGAAGCAAUCAA